rnacentral:lncRNA from 1 species
CCAUCCUUGCCGUCACCUAUUACUAUGCCCACGCCCCCUCUUCUCUCUCUAGCCCACGCCCUCUCUCUUUAGGCAUCCUCUUUUUGGAUCUUAGAGAGAAGUGGGUGGCAUCCUUUCUUUGGUGUCAAGGGUUGGUGUCAAGAUUGAUUGAUUCCUUUCUCUUCCUCUCAAGUUGUUGAGAGAUAGUUACAACUACUUCUUAUUUAUUAUUGUUCUUGAUUAGUUGAGAGAUCAAGAAAAGCUCUUGGCUUCUUCAAGAAUCAAGAAAGAAAGAUCAAAAAGAUUCAUGAAUUGAUCCCUAUCUAGGCUUGGUUCAAGCCUAUUCAAGCUUUCGAUUCAAGCAAGCAGGAUCCAAGAGAAAAUAAUUGA